UUACACUUUGAUUUGUUUUGCGCAGAUUUAGCUUGCCUCAAUUUACCAUUCUUCCUUUGGCUGUCUUUUACAAACUGUUAUGUCUGAAGAAAUGGAUGCUGCAGCCACUGAUUGCGCAUCAGAGAGUGACUCUGAGAGAGAGGAGUCGUCUGAAAAAUCCUAUGAAGGAAAUCUGACAGGAGAGAUGUCAGCAAUUCGGGCCAAACAGCCAAUGACCAAGGGAAAGCUGGGACAAAAGAGAGGCUCACACGGUGCCAAAGGAACAAAAAGGUAUUGGUCGACAAUAGAGGUGGAUGCAGUUGAAGAUUCCUUGAUGAGUUUUAUCAGAAUGGGAAAAACGCCUGGAAAACAAGACUGUGAGAAAUGCAUUGCUGCUUCUCCCCAAGCACUAGUAAACAGGGACUGGAGAGCGGUGAAGUUCUAUGUACACAACAGAAUAAUUGCAGAUCAGAGAAAAUAAGUGUAGACUAGGGUUCUGCUCUAUCCAGAUUUUCAUUUCUUAUAUAGUAGCUAGCAACUGAAUGUCACUUUUGUUUUCUUUGUGAUCUUGGGUUUCUUAGCCUGUAUUACACAUUGGAGAAAUUAAGGUUCUUAAAUGGUUAUUCCUUAGUUCUUAAGGUUCCUGAGAGAACUCGGUUCUGCUUUAUUUGAAGUUCUUAUGAAUGUUUCAUAUAUACAGUUGAAGUC